rnacentral:rRNA from 1 species
UACGUAGGGUGCGAGCGUUAAUCGGAAUUACUGGGCGUAAAGCGUGCGCAGGCGGUUCGUUAAGUCAGAUGUGAAAGCCCCGGGCUCAACCUGGGAACUGCAUUUGAAACUGGCGGGCUUGAGUGUGGCAGAGGGGGGUGGAAUUCCGCGUGUAGCAGUGAAAUGCGUAGAGAUGCGGAGGAACACCGAUGGCGAAGGCGGGUUGCUGGGCUGACACUGACGCUGAAGUGCGAAAGCUAGGGGAGCGAACGGG